rnacentral:rRNA from 1 species
GACGAACGCUGGCGGCGUGCCUAAUACAUGCAAGUAGAACGCACAGUUUAUACCGUAGCUUGCUACACCAUAGACUGUGAGUUGCGAACGGGUGAGUAACGCGUAGGUAACCUGCCUGGUAGCGGGGGAUAACUAUUGGAAACGAUAGCUAAUACCGCAUAAUAUUGAUUAUUGCAUGAUAAUUAAUUGAAAGGUGCAAUUGCACCACUACCAGAUGGACCUGCGUUGUAUUAGCUAGUAGGUGAGGUAACGGCUCACCUAGGCGACGAUACAUAGCCGACCUGAGAGGGUGAUCGGCCACACUGGGACUGAGACACGGCCCAGUCUCCUACGGGAGGCAGCAGUAGGGAAUCUUCGGCAAUGGACGAAAGUCUGACCGAGCAACGCCGCGUGAGUGAAGAAGGUUUUCGGAUCGUAAAGCUCUGUUGUAAGAGAAGAACGGGUGUGAGAGUGGAAAGUUCACACUGUGACGGUAUCUUACCAGAAAGGGACGGCUAACUACGUG